rnacentral:tRNA from 1 species
GCUAGCUCAGCAGGUAGAGCACAACACUUUUAAUGUUGGGGUCCUGGCGUCCGUGGAAUCCCGGAUUUCCAGUG